rnacentral:lncRNA from 1 species
ACUCAACUUGAGCUCGGCAGUAAAAGCAGAGAGGCAAAGAAAACACUUGUGCCCUGGGCCUGCCCUCUCCGGGUGUGGCAGCCUAGGGGGAGAAGUAUCAGCCCACCUGAGUCUGGGUUUGUGCAGAAACUUCCCUGGCGGAAAAGGCGUCGUAAAAGGGGUUUAAGAAAUCCCACUGGAUGCUUUCCCAGAGCCUUGGUGUUACGGCGCUCAGCUCCAAUGCACAGACUGCGCUACGAAGGCGCCCUGCGCAGGGAUUGGCUGCAGCACCCAGUUGCAAGGAGUCUGAGAUACCUACGGAUUCUCCAAACAGGAUACCUAUAGACAGCUGAAAAUACAAGACUGGUUUUACACAGCAAUGUCAGAGCUGAAGAGACAGGUGAUAAUCACAGGCAUGAAUGUAUUGAAGUUACUGAGGGACUACAAAGUGAACAUAACUGGGAACAGCACCAUCAAAACGAUCAGCAUUUAAAGAGCAGGGAGUGGGAAGAGCCAAUGAUUGAAGCUGAGACUAAACUAACUGAAGAGAAAAUCAAGGCACAAUUCUUGCUAUAAUAUCCGAAGAGGGAACUUGCGGCAGACGGACUGGAGGGUGGGAUUUGCAUUCCUGUUUGGAGUCAGGAUUUCCAUGGUCUACACCUCAUGUGUUGCAUGUAGACGUUCAAGGUAUUUUUAUUGUGAUAUGUCAGCACACAGAAUUGGAAGGCAUGUCACAAGGUCAGGAGUUCGAGUUCUGUUGAUAGUCUCAGACCUCUUCCAACUUCAACAAGGUCAACAAGAUAAACCACAAACCUGGAUGAGUUCAUGUUAUUCCAGAUGCAUUAUCUCCUAAUCUUCAGGAAGAGGCUCCUUCAGCGGGAAGGAGCAUGGCAGGAUCUUCCCUGAAAAAACAGAAAUAGCCGUGUCUAAUCCCUGCUCUGCCUGGAAAGGAAAAGGCUCACCUACUUCCCAUGUCAAGGCAAGAAUCAGAAUUCCUCUCAAAUUCUUAAAACAUUGCAAAGUAAAGACAGAUACUAACUCUAAAUAUGAUUCAUGCUCAAGUUAUUAAAAAUGGAAUACAUUGUACCAGAAGGAAAAUGGUAAACAAUUUUAAAUUCCAAAGGCAAGGGAAUGUUUUUGGUUUAAUAACCAGAGUAUGGCUUCAACAGGAGCUUAUGUAGUAUACACACCAUAAUUAAAUCUAAUUCAAUCACCUGAGUAAUCAAGUGGUUAAGCGAAUAAACUAAGUAAUCAAUCGUAAAAGUGAUUUGCUGUUUAGAAGAAAGAAGUUGUAAUAUGUGUGCCAAUAUUUUUAAAGAAUAAGGAAUCUCAGGUCUUCAACUCUGUCAACAAUUAUUAGCAUUGUUUUGUUUCAGUCUUCUUAUUUACAGAGUAAAAAGACCAUUCAUUCAUUCAACAAGUAUUUAUGGAAAGCAGCAUUUUCUGAACAUGAUUCCUGCACUCAAGGUGUUUUACAAUCAUGUGGCCUGCCACUUUAUUGAAGAUGUUUUAGGGAAAACAAUUAACUUUUGACAAAGUUCAGAAUUAUUCAAACAUAACAUAAAUGGCCAAUGAAUCUUUUCAGAGAAAGCAUAGUCUAGUGGAUAAAUAUUUACACUAGUCUGCCCCUGAGUCUUACAAUUUUUCUAUGUCCAUUUUUCCUCACUCUGUAAUGGUGGGCAGACAGAAGGUGGGGCUAGCUGACCUUCAAAUUCCCUUCCAAUUUUUAUGAAAUACAAUUUUUAGUAUUAAGUGAGUAAUCACAUUGUGCAAGGUGCUUACCUGGAUAUAGCUCAGUUCUUUUUCUGAUUGCAAGAACAGAGCAAGAUGGAACCAUGAACUGCUAAACGACCCAUGGCAAUUUUUAAAGGAUUCCUCAAGCAGAUGGUUCUCUGGUAGUUCUUACAGCAGGAAAAGCCCCCUACAGUUCACAAAAGAGUCAAGUUGCAUUCUUCCAAACUGUCCUGAUUUUGCCGAUUUGCACAAUCUAAUAAAAUCUUUCCAUCAUAUUUCUCUUUUCCAUUUGUGGACCACUACUCAGUGAGUACAUUUAUUAUGUGUGGCUAAUAAUUUACUUUUUUGUUCUUUUUUGUUGUAAAAGCGUCAUAUUAACUACCUUUUGAGCGCAUGAAAAUGCAUAUUCGAAACAUUGCUGAGUUCAGAUUGAUUGAAUUUGACUGUGACCUUAGUGAGCCAUUCAUUUAUUCAACAAGGUUUGAUUGAACAUUUACCAUCCUAUCACUUCAGCCCACACAUUGGACAACCAAUCAGAGUUAUCACACUUCUUAGGGCAUAAAACAGAUACAUAUUCAUUAAGUUACAUAUUCCCAGUCCAAAUUAGCUUGACCCAAUUCAAGUCUUCCUUCAGAUUUUUAGAGUUCUUGCCAAAUCGUUUUCCUAUUCCCAUUUUCUCUUCACUUCCCAUUGCCCUCUUGUCCUCAAUUUCUUUUGUGUUCAUUCUCUCUCUUCUUCUUGUUUUCAGUUUCUGUCUUCUCUUUCACAAAGUUUUCUCACUUAGCUAUAAUGUAUGUUUAAUAAUACACUAUUUCAUUAUUGUGUUACUCAAAAUCCUCAAGCCACUUUAUCUCAAGAUGCAAAUACCUAGACCUCAGGUUCAAAGCUAAUAAUCUAA